AGCACCGCUUGCUGCCGUUCCCUCCUGGGUUUUGCAUCGCCAAAGCUCCGUGCGGUCGACUGAAGCUGUUUUGUGUGGCAACUAACUCAGCUUGGAGGUGGUAUGGGCUCCUCCCAGCACAGAAAUAGGAGGAACAGAAUAGGGUCGGUGUGCAGGGCAGGAGAUGAACCUGGAGCUGCUUGCAUGUGCUUGGGUCUGCGUAGGUCUGCUUGGAUCUGUUUGGAUCUGCUUAGGUCUGCUUGGAUCUGUUUGGGUCUGCUUAGGUCUCCUUAGGUCUCCUUAGGGUCUGCUUGGAUCUGUUUGGGUCUACGUGGAUCUCCUUGUCCUGCUUAAAUCUACUUGGAUCUGUUUGGGUCUGCUUAGGUGUCCUUGGAUCUGCAGAGGUCUCCUUGUCCUGCUUAGAUCUGCUUGGAUCUAUUUGGGUCUACGUAGAUCUCCUCGGGUCGACGUAGGUCUCCUUAGGUCUGCUGAGGUCAACUUGGAUCUCCUUGGAUCUGUUUGGAUCUACGUAGGUCUCCUUGGGUCUGCUUAGGUUGACUUCCUUGGAUCUACGUAGGUCUCUUUGUCCUGCUUAGAUCUGCUUGGAUCUGUUUGGGUCUGCUUAGGUCCACUUGGAUCUUUUUGGAUCUACGUAGGUCUCCUUGGAUCCAUGUAGGUCUCCUUGGGCCCACAUAGGUCUGCUUGGAUCUGCGUUGGUCUGCUUGGAUCUACUUGGAUCUGUGUAGGUCUACUUGGAUCUACUUGGAUCUGCGUUGGUCUACUUGGAUCUACUUGGAUCUGUGUAGGUCUGCCUGGAUCUACUUGGAUCUGUGUAGGUCUGCUUGGAUCUACUUGGAUCUACUUGGAUCUGUGUAGGUUUGCUUGGAUCUACUUGGAUCUACUUGGAUCUGUGUAGGUCUGCCUGGAUCUACUUGGAUCUGUGUAGGUCUGCUUGGAUCUACUUGGAUCUACUUCGAUCUGUGUAGGUCUGCUUGGAUCUACUUGGAUCUGUGUAGGUCUACUUGGAUCUACUUGGAUCUGUGUAGGUCUGCUUGGAUCUACUUGGAUCUACUUGGGCCUGCUUAGGUCUUCUUAGGUCUCCUUGGACCUCUGUAGGCUGGUUGGAUGUUUGCAGGUCUUUUUGGGUUUGCCUGGGGCUCCUUGGAUCUGUGGCUCCCCGUGGGCCUGCAGCUCAACUUGGGCUCAGCUCAGCUCUACAGGCAACCUCUAAAGAGCCCCCAAACCCAACAGAAAUCCUCUCCCCUUGAGUUCCGUUCAUAGGAACCCCACGACUUGGCUGCCUCAGGGCUCCUCUCCUCUCCU